AAGGGUACAGUGGGGGAUACGGGGUUUAUGGGGCCAGUAGGAAUUGCACAGUGUGGUACGGCAGCAGCCUAGGGUAAAGCUGGGAAGGGUUUUGUGCUACUGAGAAAUAACACACACACACAUAUAUAUAUAUGUCAUUCAUAUGACAGGCAGGCAUUCAAGCAUUAGCAAAUAAGCACUAAGGUGUGAUUUGGGAAAGAAAGAGUGUGUUUCUUACAGGUUUAGGUGAAGGGCGUGCCUUCUCUUCACUUUUUGCUACUUUCAUGAGGCAGCUGCUUUAUACUGAUGUAUGCCUGUAUGUAGUUCUCCCCAACUAGAGAUGUUGCUGUCCAAUAUAAUAACACCCAAAAGCAGUUAUUAAACAUACCUAAUUUGUAGCUAUAUAGGUUUUAGCAAACCAUAAUGAUUUUGUACUACCUAAAGGUAUAUGUCAGUAUUACUAAACCACUAAUGCUUGACAAGAAUCCCUCAAGCUGCUGCUUAACUACAGUUCCCAGCACCCAGUCAGUUUUUGAGUUUAUUCUGUCCACAGAUUGGACAGAAUGUUAUUCAUUCCCCAUUAAUAUUUUUUUUUAGUGAUCUCUGUUCAGUUCUCCAGCAGCCACACCUAUGUGUCCAUAAUGUUUUCCCAAGGAGCAGUUCCUUGGUAGCAAAGUGGUUAAUUCUGGCGUUCAUCCCCCUUCCUGCCCUCCAAUUGUAAAUAUAGCUAAAAGUUGUUUACAUGAAAGAUCCAGCAGGAGGAGCCUGGGAGGCUGGACUGCGACUAGACACAGAAUGCUGCUGCUACAGUAACAAUCCUGACUAGGAGGAGCUUACAGAGGUCCCUACUCCAUGGGAUCUGGAAUGAGAUGGACAAGAAAAUGUGCCGAUCCUUUUGGUAAUGGUGUCCGUGGGAGAUGAAGCAGCCAUAUGCUUUCCUCGUUGUCUGUACAGGUCUGGUUAUUACAGAGCAUGCAAGGCAUUGUGGAAGUUGGAGCCCUGGCUGGAGGGUAGUUGACUACUGCAACUUGAUAUAUGUAGUCAGAGCCAGUUGUGCAGAUAAUAAAAAGGGCAGACAGACACUUCAGUGGUAAUUACAUUUACAAAUGAUUUAAAAAUCAUCAAAAUCUGUAAUUAAUAUAUAUUGGUAAGUUCAGAAUUACAUCCACUUUCAUUAUGGAAAAUCUUGCAACCGGUGUUCCACAGCUAUAACAGCAUGUUUGAAGAGAUUGCAGAAGAUAUGUUAUCAUUCAGAUCUUUUUGCUUUUGUAUAUGUAAUAGUAAUUUACAGGGCCAUUGUGACUGACAGGCUGCCCUGGCUCAGUUAUCACAGUGCUGAUGCUGUCUACUCUAAAGGUACAGUACUGUGAUAACUGAAGGAUGGUAGCCAUCUUAACUUCAGCUUUUCACCAGAAGACUGUAAUGGAAUGUUUUUAAGUCAAAAUAAAAAUGUCUAAUUAAAUCAUAACAAAGAAGUGCCAGAAUGUGCAUAGAGUUUGUGGAUUUCCUCACUGCUCUUGGAAACCACCUGCCCCAGUAAACGAACUUUGAUGUUGAUUACUUGUAAUUAGCUGGUCCUUGUUCAUCUUUAUGUUAUUUAGGUAAAGUAAUAUCAGAAUGUCUACUUGUACAUGGGCUUUUGGGAAAGGUUACAUAUUCUCUGCUAAUAAUUAAAUUAUGCAAAAUAAUAAUCUUCUAAAUAUUUGGAUUUAUACGUCUGUUGAGAGGCAUUCAACAAUAUAAUACAAAAUGCUUUACACAGAUCCUGCUAGGAGAAAGUUGCUGGUGUUUUAUCAGAAUACUGAUUCUCCUCAUAAUAUAAAAGUUUUAAAGUAAACGUGGUUGAAGUCCUCUUAUAAGCACGUUUGAAUUUUGAUAGAACUGGCCUUUAAAGGGGACCUUUCAAGCAGGCAUAAAAAGCUGUAUAAUAAAAGUCCUUUUCAAAUUAAA